rnacentral:rRNA from 2 species
GGACUACCGGGGUAUCUAAUCCCGUUUGCUCCCCUGGCUUUCGUGUUUCAGAGUCAGGAAUCUUCCAGGUAUCCGCCUUCGCCACCGGUGUUCCUUAUGAUAUCUACGCAUUUCACUGCUACACCAUAAAUUCCGAUACCCCCUCCGAUCCUCUAGCCGGGCAGUAUCAAGCGCAGUUUCAGAGUUAAGCUCUGAGAUUUCACACCUGACUUACCCGACCUCCUACACACCCUUUACGCCCAAUGAAUCCGAACAACGCUCGGGACCUCUGUCUUACCGCGGCGGCUGGCAC